UACGACCAUAUUACUUUAAAUCACCUGUCCCCAUACGAUCAUUGAAGUUAAGCAACGUCGAACUUGGGCAGUAGCUAGAUGGAUGACCGCUUGGGAAUACCAGGUACAGUAA